UACAGAGGUCCCGAGCGUUGUUCGGAUUCACUGGGCGUAAAGGGUGCGCAGGUGGGCUGGUAAGUUCGAUGUGAAAGCCCCGGGCUUAACCCGGGAAUGGCAUUGGAUACUACUGGUCUGGAGGAUUGGAGGGGGGACUGGAAUUCUUGGUGUAGCAGUGAAAUGCGUAGAUAUCAAGAGGAACACCAGUGGCGAAGGCGGUUGCCUGGGGCUUUGCUGACGCUGAGGCGCGAAAGCGUGGGGAGCGAUCCGG
rnacentral:rRNA from 1 species